AAUUUUAUAGUUUAGUUGUAAAAUGUUAGAUUGCAAUUCUAAUGAUAUAAAUUUUAUAUUUA
rnacentral:tRNA from 1 species